rnacentral:rRNA from 1 species
GAUGAACGCUGGCGGCGUGCCUAACACAUGCAAGUCGAGCGAUCUUCUUCGGAAGAGAGCGGCGGACGGGUGAGUAACGCGUGGGUAACCUGCCUCAUACACAUGGAUAACAUACCGAAAGGUAUGCUAAUACAAGAUGAUAUAAGAGAUUCGCAUGGAUUUCUUAUCAAAGCUUUUGCGGUAUGAGAUGGACCCGCGUCUGAUUAGCUAGUUGGUAAGGUAACGGCUUACCAAGGCGACGAUCAGUAGCCGACCUGAGAGGGUGAUCGGCCACAUUGGAACUGAGACACGGUCCAAACUCCUACGGGAGGCAGCAGUGGGGAAUAUUGCACAAUGGGCGAAAGCCUGAUGCAGCAACGCCGCGUGAGCGAUGAAGGCCUUCGGGUCGUAAAGCUCUGUCCUCAAGGAAGAUAAUGACGGUACUUGAGGAGGAAGCCCCGGCUAACUACGUGCCAGCAGCCGCGGUAAUACGUAGGGGGCUAGCGUUAUCCGGAUUUACUGGGCGUAAAGGGUGCGUAGGUGGUUUCUUAAGUCAGGAGUGAAAGGCUACGGCUCAACCGUAGUAAGCUCUUGAAACUGGGAAACUUGAGUGCAGGAGAGGAAAGUGGAAUUCCUAGUGUAG